rnacentral:rRNA from 1 species
CCCUGAGCCUUUUUUUCCCUUUAUAACAGAAGUCGUAGGUUGUGUAAACAAAAACUGUUGUUUCCCUUUCUGCUGCUUUUCUUCACCCAAACCAAAUGGUUUUCGUCUAGCUCCCCGAGUUCUUUCAGCCGAGGUUGCAGGAGAGGAUGCAUCAUCAUGCACGUCUCCUUCGUUGACUGAACGCCCGGGGUGUGCGAAGAGGAAGUAGGCAGAAGAAGGAGGAGCACUGUUAGGUUCUGGCAAACCCAAAGAACAAGGGCACCCUACGAAACGAGAACGGCGGGCGGAGGCGGAGAGAGGUAGGUAGGAACAUGUCGUCGUGUCGUGUUCUGGCUGUUCCUCUGGUCGUGCGCGUGAUGAACGCCCCUAUGAUGUGUGUGUUGCAUAUUUCUAAACUAAACCAUAUAUAACUAAAGUUUCGGGUAAGUUAGGACAAAGCAGCAAGCAGCGCUCGUCCCGGAUUAGAUUUAGCGGCUUAACGAAGCAGCGGUUAGUUGGCUAGUUAGUUAGUUCUCGAGCGGUGAGCAGCUGCCUGUGGCUGGUUCGGGGCCGGCCGGUACCACCACGCCCCGGUCGUUCUAGACCUGUAGUUGUAGCAGGCGACCCCCGAGGUGGUGGAGGAGCUGCCGCCGCGGAGAGGGCCGCCGCCGCCGACGCACGUGGCGGGAGUUAGGGGGUGGUGGCUGAUGCGGGGCGGCGGCGGCGUCGGGGUGGCGCGGGCGCGGGAAGAGCUGCCGAUGCUGUACCGGGGGCGUGGGCGGGGGCUCCAGUCCCAGCUGCGCCAGCUCUUGCUGCUCCAGUAGCGCGUGCGCGACGUCCUCCUCGAGCGCGUCCAGCGGUACCGGCUCCGCAGGCCCCGGCAGCCGCCGUCGCUCGGGCUCGCGGCGCGGUGGCAGGAGCGCGUCGUCACCAAGGCGGGGCUCCAGCAGUCGGUAGACGGGAGUCGUGGCGGCAUACAUCUUCUUCGUCUCCCGAGUUCAGGUGCAAGCUCGGGGCUUCUUCUAGCGUUACGCGCGCUGCCGGUGCCCACGAGCUAUCUCGAGCACCUGCUAAAGAGACGAGAGCUGCCGCUUCAGCCGUUUUCUGACUUACUGUACCAGGGACAGGGAGUACAGGGAUUUUGUUUGCCUCUGUAAGGAAGAAAACUACUUCGGAAAAGUCUAGUGGCUUCUGAAGAACUGUCCAACCACGACAUACCAGACCAACUCGAGUUCCAAUUGCCUCUACCGUUAACAGUCAAAGCCCGUAACAGACUAGUUAAGAUGGCUUGAGGACUUGUGGUAUCUAAACAUGCCGUUGUUCACCAGUUAGUCGAAGUCAGAGUAGGACUCUAUAUACGACCUAUACAGGGAUACCUAAUGUCUCUUAUAGAAUUCUUCUACGGUUUCUUACCUCUCACCCCACUGGUACAAUGUGACGUCCGACGACGUCUGAACCAUUCGUACUAAGGAGGAAGGAGUGGUAAAAAUGAUCAUCAACUAGACAGCAUGGACAUGUAUGUAAGAGUACCAUAGAUACGUCGCAUAUAUCAUGUAGUAACUGAUUAUUAAAUGAGGGAGGUAAGGUAUUAUUAUGUUCUACAAUAAUGAUCGUUAUAUGAGUGUAUAACCAUCAUUAUCGGAUAAUAUAAUAUCCUACCUCUCUCAUGGAAAGUGACGGUAGUAUAUAUAUAAUCUUCUCGAUGUAACGUUAAAGUGGUGUACUAAAAUGUUACACUAACUUGAUAGAGUUAUACUCCAGUACCCAAGCUCAGGGCCUUUAUUGGAGAGCGUCUUUACAUCCCUGUCUAACGCAUGUUUUCUGGGUUUCACCAGCUUGGGAAGGGGUCUGGAACGCGUUCGCCCUCAAUGCACGUAACUCGACAGGAAUUAACGACAACAGUUUCUGGAAGCUAAAAUAUGGCACAACUAGAAAGACAGCCUGAAAGACUGGGAGGAUCCGCGUGGGACCCCUUCAGACAAAAUUUGGAACUUAAACAUACCCACCAGCUUUAGUUUGGGGUUGGAGAGUUAGGAACUCUAGGGGUAGACGGUGCGGAUAUAACGCACCGUGUACUGGAAUAGCGAACGGAGAAGUAUUUCCUAGAAACGGCGGGUGGAAUCCCAGUGUAGUGUCGCGGUGGUGGCUGCACUUUCCGCACGGGGAAGAAGUACUCAGAGUUUACGCGCGGAGAGGCUGACAGCGCCAGCGGGUCGUGCAACGAGACCGGAAAAAGCUCAAAGCGUAUACAACAGCGGAGGGACUCGGUUGCGACCACUGGCCUCUGUUUGGGAGCCUUAGUAGCAGUCUGGUGUAGGUUACCGUACGGACUUAAUCACUGGUUACCGGAGGGGCCACGGUGCACACGUUAGGGACAAACCUUUGACUGCAUUUGGGAUCAGAGGGGCCACGGUGCACACGUUAGGGACAAACCUUUGACUGCAUUUGGGAUCAGAGGGGCCACGGUGUAUACGUUAGGAACAAACCUUUGACUGCAUUUGGGAUCAGAGGGGCCACGGUGUAUACGUUAGGAACAAACCUUUGACUGCAUUCGGGCCUGAGGGGCCAUGGUGCAUACGUUAGGAACAAACCUUUGACUGCAUUCGGUACCUGAGGGGCCACGGUGUAUACGUUAGGAACAAACUUUUGUCUGAAUCGGCACGAUGACUGGCCCUAACAGCUAAAGGCCCUAACUCUCCAAUCCCAAACUAAGGUUGUUCCGCAUUUUCAAGCUCCAAAUAAAGUAUGAUCGGUUUGGCCGACCCGGGUGUCCAGUCACACCGGUUUGGCACACCGGGGUGGCCAGUCGCUCGCCGCGUGCCCCGGGUGGUAGGUAGGUGCACUUGGCGUGGUCGGUGGGUCUUUUUUGGCUUGGGUGGUGGCGGGGACCGCCGGAGCGAGCGGGAAUAGGGGGGCGGGCGGAGGUGUGGGCGGCGGCGGCGGUAAAUGAGGUGGUGGUGAGGGAGGGAGGGAGAAAGGGGGUCUAGGUCUAGACUUGGCGGCGGGCGGCGGCUCCCCGGUAGGCUACCUCCGCUCCUUCUCGCGCGGCCCCGUCGGGACCAGCCUGCCGCUCUGGUACGUGGAGUAGCUGCAGAUGCUCCUGGCGACCUGGUCCGACGCGGCCCCGGUCGAGUUCCGCGUGGUCACCCUCCUGCACCGGCGGCUGCAGUGGGCGGCGACGCCGCCGGUCGCGUUCUGGCCGUGGGUCACGGCGGUGUUCGAGCUCUUCGAGGCGUUCGCGAUGGCGUGGCUCCGGCGGGCGGGGCAGUGGAGGGAGACCGGGAAGAAGGCGGCGUACCUCGCGGAGCUCGCGCCGGGGCAGGGGCAGAGGUGGUUGAGGAAGGGGCGGAGGGGCGGGCGGAGGCUGCUGCUGGUUCUGGUUCUGGUCCUGGUGCUGGACCUGGACCUGGACCUGGUCCUCCUCCUUCUUCUUCUACUUCUUCUCCUUCUCCUACCGCUCCUCCUGGUUCUUCUCCUCCUCCUCCUCGUUAACGAGCAGCGGUCUUUGUCCUCGUAGUUGCCGGAGCACGCGCUGCGGCCGCCCAAGUCCCCGGUAGUCGUCGUCGUCGUCGCCGCCGCGGGCAGCGGCGGACGACAGUGCGACAGGUGGCGCGGAGGUGCGUUCUCCCAGAGGAUACUCCGGCGGUACAAGGUCAGGUUCCGGCGGCGACGUCUGUCCCAGUUCCGACUCCUCCGAGGGCGGCACCUGGUGGUGAGGCAGCGUCCGCACAACUCCCUGUAGCCGCUCCCUUAGUUCGCCGACCUCUCCGCCUCUUACCUCCACGUCACCCUCUAACUCGCCCCCACCUUCCUCUGCCUCCGGGCGUCAUUAGUCUACGAGGUCCUGCGGGUCGCCGUCAAUGUCCUGUGAGAGCGGUGUGACGGCGGCUGCCCCUUCUUCCGGUCCUCCCUGGUACCGUCGUCACGUCUGCCGAACGUCCUCCGAUCGAUCGCUAACGAGCUAGAGCUAACCCCCUAUCCGUCCAACUUUCGACAAAUAAAAGAAUAGACCACCAUCACUUCCCUCCGUUUAUCUAACAAGGAUCAGAAGUAGGAGACGAGCCCUACAUACAUAAAUCAAGAGCAGCACUUGCUAAGACUGGUAACAACGAAUGAAGCCAUGCGUACCGUUUGGUACGAAGAAUGGUCUGGUCAACGUAAGACAGAGAUGAAACCAACCAGAAACGUCACUAACUACAGAACCUGUUAACGGUAUUGAAUUAACAUACGGGCAGUGGACUAUACUCACUUUUUUACACUGAAAAACCCGUCGUAGAGAAUUCUUGGAGAAGAACUACUACACAUCAAAGAACCGUAAUAAUGGUCACUCGACGAGUACAGUAUACUGACGAGACGAUAAACAUAUACGUAACUAAAAAAAAAGUCAUACCACACUUCUAAAAGUAGGAUUGUAGUAAGUCUCUAUGUACGAUGUAACUUUAAGAGGGUCAGCAAGUUUUUAGUUUAUCUCAAUAUACAAACUCAAAAACCCGGCUCCACGUGAUGUUGAGCUAUAUAGGCCUUCCUCUCAACGGGUAGCACCUCUUGUCUUUCUUCUCCACCACCGUGAACCUCAAGAUCUGAACAUCACGAUUUUGGUUUUCCCCUUAUCUUCUAAACUAAACAAGAAAACUAGAGUACCGUCGAACAGCCUAGCUGCCAGCAAAACAAGCUGGUACACUAAUGCUCCCUAGACUCCUCGACGCUACGGCAUCCUGACUACUUCUCUAACUGACUGUCAAGCAAACAUGUAUAUAUCGUCAUAGACGUGACAACUGACCCAGACACUAUACACUACACUUGUAAACAACAUCAUGAAUAUUAUAUAGAUAUAUGUAGUGAAUAAAAAGAUCCUCUCCAAUACAGUUAUAAUCGUCUUUCGCAACUGUUUUACUAUGAGGGAGGUAGGCUUUUACAUUCUAGUAAAAACUGUGAUACCCUGCCUCCCUCAUAUAAAGAAACGUGAAACUGUGUUUACUGUGUGUGGAACACCGUGACUGUUCACCGAAGUCCAGGGUGUACAGUCACUAUGUCCUGCAGAGUAAACCCUACAGACACCACGUUCCGUGCGGUCAAACAGUUUCGUUUUGUUUUCACCGCAUCUAGUAAAACAGUUUAAGGGACAUUUAACUAGGUAGAAGAAGC